rnacentral:rRNA from 1 species
CUACGUGCCAGCAGCCGCGGUAAUACGUAGGUCCCGAGCGUUGUCCGGAUUUAUUGGGCGUAAAGCGAGCGCAGGCGGUUAGAUAAGUCUGAAGUUAAAGGCUGUGGCUUAACCAUAGUACGCUUUGGAAACUGUUUAACUUGAGUGCAAGAGGGGAGAGUGGAAUUCCAUGUGUAGCGGUGAAAUGCGUAGAUAUAUGGAGGAACACCGGUGGCGAAAGCGGCUCUCUGGUCUGUAACUGACGCUGAGGCUCGAAAGCGUGGGGAGCGAACAGGAUUAGAUACCCUGGUAGUCCACGCCGUAAACGAUGAGUGCUAGGUGUUGGAUCCUUUCCGGGAUUCAGUGCCGCAGCUAACGCAUUAAGCACUCCGCCUGGGAAGUACGACCGCAAGGUUGAAACUCAAAGGAAUUGAUGGGGGCCCGCACAAGCGGUGGAGCAUGUGGUUUAAUUCGAAGCAACGCGAAGAACCUUACCAGGUCUUGACAUCCCGAUGCUAUUUCUAGAGAUAGAAAGUUA